rnacentral:lncRNA from 1 species
GCGCGCCGCACGCGCCGCCGCUGGCCUCCAGCCAGGCGGCCUCUAGCCCACACCCAUCUGUCCCCUUCUCCAGAACGCCCGCUCCGGAACCGCCUCGCUUCCCGACUCCUCUGCCUACCUGUUUUCUCUUCCCGCGUCGCCGACGCAACCCGAGCCCACACACACACAUCGUCUUGGCCGGCGGCCGCCUGGAGUGCGCUGUAAACUGAGCGGACAGCCCGGUGACGUCAGGAGCUACGUCACUAGCCGCUGACAGCUGUCCCCGUUCGGCGCGUCGCCUCACGUGAACAGCUGAUCGCGAGCAGAAUUGGCCAUGUGGAUAGCAAGUGCUGCCGAUACACCGAUUUCUUCUGUACGGCAACGGUUGUGAUAAGUUUGGAAAAGCGAAUCGCCGAUGUACGUGCUGAAGUCCGCUUGGAGUCAAUAUACGUGACAACGGCCUCAGAGCGCCUCAAACAUCGCGUCUCCGGCAUACUGGUACAUCUAUGGUGGUAAUCAGAUACGUUUGUCGAGUUGAUUAUGUGAAGAAUGCCGAAAAAAAUGCCCUGCCCUAUUAAUUUGAGUCCUCAGCUCCAUUAGCAACAUAAAAUCCCACGCUGCAUUAUUAGAACGGUAUGAAAUAAUCCAUAUUUCCUUCAAACUGAACAACGGUCUCC